rnacentral:rRNA from 1 species
AUUGAACGCUGGCGGCAUGCCUUACACAUGCAAGUCGAGCGGCAGCGCGGACUUCGGUCUGGCGGCGAGUGGCGAACGGGUGAGUAAUACAUCGGAACGUACCCUGUUGUGGGGGAUAACUAGUCGAAAGAUUAGCUAAUACCGCAUACGACCUGAGGGUGAAAGUGGGGGACCGCAAGGCCUCACGCAGCAGGAGCGGCCGAUGUCUGAUUAGCUAGUUGGUGGGGUAAAGGCCCACCAAGGCGACGAUCAGUAGCUGGUCUGAGAGGACGAGCAGCCACACUGGGACUGAGACACGGCCCAGACUCCUACGGGAGGCAGCAGUGGGGAAUUUUGGACAAUGGGGGCAACCCUGAUCCAGCAAUGCCGCGUGUGUGAAGAAGGCCUUCGGGUUGUAAAGCACUUUUGUCCGGAAAGAAAUCGCGCUGGUUAAUACCUGGCGUGGAUGACGGUACCGGAAGAAUAAGCACCGGCUAACUACGUGCCAGCCGCCGCGGUAA